rnacentral:rRNA from 1 species
UACGGAGGGUGCGAGCGUUGUCCGGAAUCACUGGGCGUAAAGGGCGCGUAGGCGGCCUGAUAAGUAGGGGGUGAAAUCCUGCGGCUUAACCGCAGGGCUGCCUUCUAAACUGUCAGGCUCGAGCACAGUAGAGGCAGGUGGAAUUCCCGGUGUAGCGGUGGAAUGCGUAGAGAUCGGGAAGAACAUCAGUGGCGAAGGCGGCCUGCUGGGCUGUUGCUGACGCUGAGGCGCGACAGC